GUGAAAUACCCUCGGGCUCAACCUAGGAACUGCAUUUCUAAACUGGAUAACUUGAGUAUGUCAGAGGGUAUUGGAAUUUCCCCGUGUAGCAGUGAAAUGCGUAGAUAUGGGAAGGAACAUCAGUGGCGAAGGCGAAUACCUGGGAUAAUACUGACGCUGAGGUGCGAAAAGCGUGGGGGAGCAAACGGGGAUUAGAUACCCCUGGUAG
rnacentral:rRNA from 1 species